CCUGCUAAAACCAGUGGAUGGGGGGACAACAGGCAGAACCAUAGCGGAAUAGGACAUGCUCAUCCUAUAUUAUUGCGAUCAAUCAGCGUCCGGACCAUCAGCACCAGUGAUUGCAAACGUUUGAACGACAAUGAUCCUGACAU